UUCAUCUCUUAUGUACUUUUCUUCAUUGUCUUCUUCCUUUCUUCUUCUACCCCUUGUGUGGUUUCAUGGAUCACAAUAUUAGCAUGGGGUUUCUUCAGCUUAACAUUCCCCCUCAAGUUAGAGGGUAACCGGGUGACCCCUAACUUGCUCAAUAGCUGAGAAUGAGAAACCCCUGAGAGGGGCUUAGUGAACAAAUCUACCAGCUGAUCGUGAGAAGGAACAAAAGAACGACUCAUUAGCCUAGAGAGGAACUGUUGACGAGCAAAAUGAUAGUCGAUUUAGGCGUGUUUUGUCUGUUCAUGAAAAACUGGAUUACAAGCAAUGUGAAUGGCUGCCUUGCUAUCAGAGUGAAGUGGAAUAGGAAGGGCUACUGGGUAGGAGAGAUCUUUAAGAAGUCGAACAAGACAAGUAAGUUCUGCUGUAACUCGUCUCAUAGAUCUAUAUUCCGCCUCUGCUGAUGAUAAAGAAACUGAGACCUGUUUCUUUUAUUUCCAGGAAAUGGGAGCUCCUCCAAGUGUAAUGAAAUAGCCACUCACAGACCUUCUAUAUUCUUUGCAAGAAGCCAGUCUGCAUCGCAAAAUGCAAGUAGAGAGAAGGAUGGGCUUACUGAAAGAAGGAUACCCUAACCAGGAUCGGUACUUAAAUACUUCAAGACUCGCAAUGCAACUCUGAAAUGUGAAACACAAGGCUUCUGCAUGUACUGACUGAGAGAAAGAACAACAAAGGAGAGGUCUGGUCGAGUAUUGGUCAAAUAGUUCAGUUUGCCAACCAAAUGACGAAAAAUUAUGGGAUUUGCCAGAGGUCUACCAUCAUCACCAACAAGCUUGUGUGAGGGAUCCAGGGGUGAGCUGACUGACUUCUAAUGAGAAACAUCAAAUUCCUGAAUCAUAUCUAAGGUAAACUUCCUUUGAUUCACAAUAAAGCCUUCCUUUUCUCGCAAAAUUUCCAUUCCUAGAAAAUAUUUUAUAUCUCCUAGAUUUUUUAUCUUGAAUUCAGUAUUGAGAAACACUUCGAUGUGCUGAAUUUCUUGUAGAUCAUUCCCUGUAAGUAGAAUUUCAUCUACAUACACAGCUAGGAUAGAAAUUAGUUCACCAGUUCGUUUAAAAAAUAAAGAAUAAUCAUUUAGAGAAGAUGAAUAUCCAUUAAAGCUUAAAGCUCCAACAAGUCUAGCAUACCAUUGCCUAGAAGCUUGCUUCAAACCAUAUAGAGACUUUCUGAGUAGACAAACAUGUUUAGUACUAGGAGGUGUGACACCGAGGGAAACUCCAUGUAUACUUCUUCCUGAAGGUAAUUGAGAGACAUUCCAAUCUCUCUUGGCUGAUAUAGUGAGCAGACAUCUGAAGUUGUCAUUUUCACAACUGGAGAAAAAGUUUCACUAUAGUCUAUCCCUUCUCUUUGAAUAUCCCCCCUCACAACUAGCCUAGCAUUUAGUAUUUCCACCCUUCCAUCAAAUAGAUGCUUCACCUUGUAUACCAAUUUACAAGGUAAAGCUCUUUUUCCUUUAGGUAAUUCAACCACAUCCCAUGUCUUGUUGUCUUAUAGUGCUUUGAUUUCCAAAUCCAUUUCUUCUACCCAACCUGGGUAUUGACAAGCUUGAGAAAAAGUAGUAGGCUCAGUGAUGGUAGAAAGAGAGUGAAGGAUGUGUUGGUUGUUAGGUGAAAGAGAAGAAAAACAGUAUUGCCUUGGGUUGCAUGGUUGAUGGAAGCAAAUAGCUUCCACAUCUGUGAACAUGAUGUUAUUGUACACAUAGUCCUUCAAAUAAACUGGUUGUUUGGAUACCCUUGAUAAUUUCUUACUGGUGUGUGUUGUUGAGGACCUAGAAUAGGUGAGGAGUGCUAUUGAGUAUCCAAAGGAGCUUGAAGAGGAGUUGGAGUAAGUAGUUGUUGUGAGGGAGACUGUGGAAAGUGGUUAUGUGGAGAUGAGAUUGAGGGACUACUGCUAGAGUGUUCAGGUUCAAAGAAAAUGGGUGAGAUUGGAUCUUCUGUUAGGUGUGAAAUGUGGAGGUGACAGUGGAUCUUCUGGUGGGUGUGAAAGUGUAAGUUUAGUGGUAAGUGUUGGGUUGGAAAGAAUAGGUUGAGGUGUAGAGAUGUUCUCAGCAAAAGGGAAAUAUGAUUCAUGAAAAUUCACAUCACUUGACACAAAGAUUCUACCAGUUUUCAAAUCCAAUAGCUUAUACCCUUUCUUAUGAACAGGAUGUCCAAGUAGUACACAAGCUGUUGCCCUCUCAUCAAAUUUGCUUCUUCCUUAUGCUAGAGCUGAACCAUAACAAAAACACCCAAAAUUCCUAAGAUAAUCAUACUUAAUUUUUCUCUGAAACAAAAGUUCAUAUGGUGUUUUUUCAUUGAGUACACUAGAAGGCAUUCUAUUAAUGAGAUGUGUGACAGUUAGAAUGGAUUCGCCCCAAUAUCUCAUAGGCAAUUUAGACUAAAACAUCAAUGCCCUUCCAGUUUCCACAAGGUGUCUAUGGUUCCUCUCAACAAUCCCAUUUUGUUGAGGAGUUGCUGCACAAGACAACUGAUGUAUAAUCCCUUGAGAAGAAAGAUAUGUUGCCUCUUGAGUUCCUUUUCCCAAUUCUAAAGCAUUGUCAGAUCUUAUGGUCUUCACCCUUAAAUUGAAUUGCCUCUCAACCAUAGACAGAAAAUCCUUGAGCAUAGAAAAAGCAUUACUUUUUGUACUUAACAAGAAUGCCCAUGUCCCUCUACUAUAGUCAUUUACUACGGUUGGAAAAAUACUUGUAUCCAUUGUAGGUGUUUGAAAAGAAUUUCUAGUCUGUUUAGCCCUAGGACAAACAUCACAAAUAAAAUCAGAAUCUGACUUACAAUGAAGAAAAUGUAAAUGUUUCAUUGCUGAAAAUGGGAGGUUUCCCAACCUUACAUGCCAAAGCUUAAAAUCACUAAACACAUUAGCUUGAAUUGAACUAGGAAAGGAAACCGACUUUGAAAUGGAAUUGCAUCCUUUUGGAAUUGAAAAUACAUCAUUACUAAAGAAAACCUUAGACUUGACACUACUUGGUUCCAGUAGAUAGAGUCCUUCUCUAACUUCACCGAUAGCUUGAGGACUCAUCAUUGAAAGUCCCUGCAACACACACUCAACAGAUGUGAACAAUACAUUAUAUUUGAAUUGAAUACAGAAUCUAUUAACUGACAACAGAUUGUACUUGAACUCUGGAACAUGUAAAACAUUGUCCAGAGUAUGACCAGGCAGUAUCGUGAUGCUUUCUAUGUGAGUGACAGUUACCUUGAAUGAAUUAGGUAAACUUAUGUUUAAAGGAACAGGAAGAGGAGUUAAAAACAAGAAAGAAUUUGGGUCAAAACACAUGUGCUUUGAGGUACCUGAAUCAAGGAUCCAAGUAUCUGAUUUUAAAGUUGUGAAAACUGAACUUGAAUAUUUUAAAAUUGUACCAGCAACUGCAUUAGCAUUGAUUGAAUUGUUCCCUCCUUGUGUUAGCUUUGCUUGCUUGUACAUCUGCAUCAUCUCAGCUAUUUGUUCCUUGCUCAGCUGCUGUCCAAAAUUAUUGUUCUGCUCAUUACUCUGCCCUGCUGACACUCUAUGUUCAUCAUGUGUUAGAACUGCAUACCCUUUGAUUUGAUUUUGGAUGUGGCACCUCUUAUGGUUUGUAAACUCAAAGUCUUCUGGGAAACCAAUGAUCCUGUAGCAAUUUUCUUGAGAGUGAUCUGUCUUUCCACAGUAGGAACAUGUCAGAUUUGGGUUGUAUUUCUUCCUCUCUUUGGAUUUCUGCUGGGGCUUGGGGAAUCUCUGUGGAGUAUUGUUGAAUUUAGACCCUAUGCCUCAUCCUCUUUGUGACUGAUUCCUUCUCCUUUGAAAAUUCUUUCCUGGUCCAGUGCUCAUGAAAGCGGCAAAGUCAGCCAGUAGUUGUACAUUAGAUUGUUUAUCUUCUCUUGUUGCCAUGAAUGAUGCUGACAGUUGUACAUUCUUUCCUGGAGGUUGACAGUCUCCAUUGAUGAAACCGAGUUUCUUCUUGGCUGAAAGAGAUAGGAGAAUAGAUAUUCUCCAACCAGGAUAACCUUUUCCUUCAAAAACAGAGUAGACAAGUGUCAUUCCUGGGGAAUCAGAAUUAUUAAGGUGGUAGGGAUGAUUAGCGUCAUAGGUUACAACUUUUGUAACACUGCUUGCCUCAGUUGUAACAACUGCAGGUGUUUAUACCAUUUUAGGUUAUUGAUCUAAGGAUGAAAUUGUGAUGUAAAAGGUGAUGAACUUAUGGAUCGAGCUCAAUGCUCUGAUACCGUAAAGGAAUUUGAGA
rnacentral:lncRNA from 1 species